rnacentral:misc_RNA from 1 species
UCCGGCUUAUCACCGGCAGUUUCGUCUGAGUGCCCAACUUAAUGCUGGCAACAGAAGAUAAGGGUUGCGCUCGUUGCGGGACUUAACCCAACAUCUCACGACACGAGCUGACGACAGCCAUGCAGCACCUGUCACCGAUCCAACUAAAUGACGGAAAGCAUCUCUGCUCUCCUCAAUCGGGAUGUCAAGGCCUGGUAAGGUUCUUCGCGUUGCGUCGAAUUAAACCACAUGCUCCACCGCUUGUGCGGGUCCCCGUCAAUUCCUUUGAGUUUUAAUCUUGCGACCGUACUCCCCAGGCGGUGUGCUUAGUGCGUUAGCUGCGCCACCGAACGGUAAACCGUCCAGUAGCUAGCACACAUCGUUUACGGUGUGGACUAC